CUGGCUUUGCACGGGAGAGUGACGUUCCAAAGUACACGCAUCCUUUUAUUACCUGUGAGAUGCUCAGGAGGAAUGGAAACUCCACAAGAAACAGAUUCCCAGAGUCGCAACCGCAGUUGAGCAAGAGCUUCAGGCAGGAAGUGGACCCAGGAGAGGUAGCUCCAAAAUCAGGAAGCCUGUAACCUUGCUCCCAGAUGAGAAUGGACAACAGCAGUACCGUGUAGAGGCCGGGAUUUGUGCUUACCUGUUUGUAUCUGUCAUCUCCAGCACUCUUGCUUAUAGAACUCCUGCUUAUAGAACACUCAGCUUAUAGAAAUGAGUCCAAAGAUGUACAUAAACCCUCCCCCAGUGACAGGAAAACCAUCUGAAGGGCAAGUGACA